rnacentral:rRNA from 1 species
UGGGGAAUUGUUCGCAAUGGGCGCAAGCCUGACGACGCAACGCCGCGUGGAGGACGAAGAUCUUCGGGUCGUAAACUCCUGUCGAGCGGGAAGAACGCUUCCCGGGUGAAUAAUCCGGGGAAUUGACGGUACCGCUAAAGGAAGCCCCGGCUACCUCCGUGCCAGCAGCCGCGGUAAUACGGGGGGGGCAAGCGUUGUUCGGAAUUACUGGGCGUAAAGGGCUCGUAGGCGGCCAACUAAGUCGGAUGUGAAAUCCCCAGGCUCAACUUGGGAACUGCAUCCGAUACUGGUCGGCUUGAAUCCGGGAGAGGGAUGCAGAAUUCCAGGUGUAGCGGUGAAAUGCGUAGAUAUCUGGAGGAAUACCGGUGGCGAAGGCGGCAUCCUGGACCGGCAUUGACGCUAAACAGCGAAAGCCAGGGGAGCAAAC